AACCGCUACAUUCCACAACUUGGAAAGGAUCAUCUUGCUUGGUCAAACUUGUACUAUUUGACCUGUUUAACGCCCGUUUUAGGAGGACACUACUGAUGAUCAAGAACACGAUCUGGCUGUCUAUGAGAGACAGAUUCCUCACACUCGAGCUGGUGACAAACAGCUCUCUGGCAGCACUGGGAUCCAGAAUCCAGUGAGUUUUGUUCAUGCAACAGUGCAGCAGGAGAAUGAAACCUGUGUGAACUCAGCCAACAAUGCUUUCACUGGUGUAUCUGUUUAUACCCAGCAACUUUCUGUCUUAUUUAGUUAGGGCGAAUUAUAUGAUUUAGGGCACCACCUUUUAUAAUUUGUAUUUGUGAUAGCUUUGUAGACUUAGUUACUGUUGUGAGUUUAGAUAUACAUGGGGACUCAAAUCCAUACACAUGUAGUUAGAAACUGCAAAAUUUAAUGCACACUUUUAUUCUCAGUAUAUUUCAUUGCACAUGUAUAAACAUAUUUUAUUUUACAUUAAUUAUAUACAUGUAUCAACAGCAGAUGAAUAAGGUCUAAAGGUUAUAUAAAAUCACUGUAAAUAUCAAGCAAUUCACAAAUAUGAUAUGCCAUAGCACAGUGCAUGUUACACUAGCCAGAUCCUAUCACUUGCCUCACAUUGACAUGUACAUAUUGUAUGUUCUUUGUCAAAUUUGAGAAAUGAAGAGCAAUGCUAGCCUCAUAUAGAUGCAGUUGCAUAUCUUUUAUGAUCAAUAAAAUGUUGAAA